rnacentral:rRNA from 1 species
GACGAACGCUGGCGGCGUGCCUAAUACAUGCAAGUUGAGCGCUGAAGGUUGGUACUUGUACCGACUGGAUGAGCAGCGAACGGGUGAGUAACGCGUGGGGAAUCUGCCUUUGAGCGGGGGACAACAUUUGGAAACGAAUGCUAAUACCGCAUAAAAACUUUAAACACAAGUUUUAAGUUUGAAAGAUGCAAUUGCAUCACUCAAAGAUGAUCCCGCGUUGUAUUAGCUAGUUGGUGAGGUAAAGGCUCACCAAGGCGAUGAUACAUAGCCGACCUGAGAGGGUGGUCGGCCACAUUGGGACUGGGACACGGCCCAAACUCCUACGGGAGGCAGCAGUAGGGAAUCUUCGGCAAUGGACGAAAGUCUGACCGAGCGACGCCGCGUGAGUGAAGGAGGUUUUCGGAUCGUAAAACUCUGUUGGUAGAGAAGAACGUUGGUGAGAGUGGAAAGCUCAUCAAGUGACGGUAACUACCCAGAAAGGGACGGCUAACUACGUG